rnacentral:rRNA from 1 species
UACGUAGGUGGCAAGCGUUGUCCGGAAUUAUUGGGCGUAAAGCGCGCGCAGGCGGUCCUUUAAGUCUGAUGUGAAAGCCCACGGCUCAACCGUGGAGGGUCAUUGGAAACUGGGGGACUUGAGUGCAGAAGAGGAAAGCGGAAUUCCACGUGUAGCGGUGAAAUGCGUAGAGAUGUGGAGGAACACCAGUGGCGAAGGCGGCGAUCUGGCCCAACAUUGACACUGAGACUCGAAAGUGCGGGGAUCAAACAGG